AUUGAACGCUGGCGGCAGGCCUAACACAUGCAAGUCGAACGGUAACAGGAAGAAGCUUGCUUCUUUGCUGACGAGUGGCGGACGGGUGAGUAAUGUCUGGGAAACUGCCUGAUGGAGGGGGAUAACUACUGGAAACGGUAGCUAAUACAGCAUAACGUCGCAAGACCAAAGAGGGGGACCUUCGGGCCUCUUGCCAGCGGAUGUGCCCAGAUGGGAUUAGCUAGUAGGUGGGGUAACGGCUCACCUAGGCGACGAUCCCUAGCUGGUCUGAGAGGAUGACCAGCCACACUGGAACUGAGACACGGUCCAGACUCCUACGGGAGGCAGCAGUGGGGAAUAUUGCACAAUGGGCGCAAGCCUGAUGCAGCCAUGCCGCGUGUAUGAAGAAGGCCUUCGGGUUGUAAAGUACUUUCAGCGGGGAGGAAGGGAGUAAAGUUAAUACCUUUGCUCAUUGACGUUACCCGCAGAAGAAGCACCGGCUAACUCCGUG
rnacentral:rRNA from 1 species